rnacentral:rRNA from 1 species
UACGGGGGGGGCAAGCGUUGUUCGGAAUUACUGGGCGUAAAGGGCUCGUAGGCGGCCAACUAAGUCAGACGUGAAAUCCCCAGGCUCAACCUGGGAACUGCGUCUGAUACUGGAUGGCUUGAAUCCGGGAGAGGGAUGCAGAAUUCCAGGUGUAGCGGUGAAAAUGCGUAGAUAUCUGGAGGAAUACCGGUGGCGAAGGCGGCAUCCUGGACCGGCAUUGACGCUGAGGAGCGAAAAGCAUGGGGGAGCGAACAGG